UACGUAGGGGGCAAGCGUUGUCCGGAUUUAUUGGGCGUAAAGAGCGUGUAGGCGGUUCGGUAGGUCCGUUGUGAAAACUCGAGGCUCAACCUCGAGACGCCGAUGGAAACCCUCGAACUAGAGUCCGGAAGAGGAGAAUGGAAUUCCUGGUGUAGCGGUGAAAUGCGCAGAUAUCAGGAAGAACACCCGUGGCUAAGGCGGUUCUCUGGGCCUUACCUGACGCUGAGGAGCGAAAGCAUGGGGAGCGAACAGG
rnacentral:rRNA from 1 species